GGUCGCAGUUUGAUGUACAAACCAUGUGAAGGUCGCUGUUUCAUGUACAAACCUUCUUAAAGGUUGCUGUUUCAUGUACAAACGUUGUUAAAGGUCGCAGAUUCAUGUACAAACCUUAUUAAAGGUCGCAGUUUGAUGUCACAAAUCCAUAUAAGGUCGCUGUUUUGUCUCACAAGCCUAUAUAAGGUCUCUGUUUUGAACCACAACUUUAUUAAAGGUUGCAGAUUCAUAUGGCAAGCUUAAUAAAGAAAAAGUUGCAUCAGGAAGCUCGAUAUAUGAAGAAAUGGGACUGGUUUAAAUUCACUGUAUUUAUGUUCUAAUUGGAAGCCCGACAAACAGUCUUGCAAUUAGAAAUGAUUUGUUAAAAUAGUACGCAGUGAACAUUGUAUUUCUGCCUUUAUGUAAUUA
rnacentral:lncRNA from 1 species